rnacentral:lncRNA from 1 species
AGGAGCAGAAAUAUCCUGCUCGUCCACGAGCACGUCAUCCGCGAGGUCAAUUUCCUGUAAGAGGCAUAAGGCCAUUCCGGCUAGAGGUCGAGAGGCGAGGAGACCCGGUCGACGGCAGUUGGCAAGACAUGCUCUCCAGCCCGAGAAUCUAGGCACGACAGCCACGCUUUCCCCAGAACCGUGGCGUAACACGCAAGAUCCCACGUUUUCCCAUAACGCAGCAGUCAGAGUCCCAUUACACGCAAGAUCUCACAGAAUCGCGACAGCCACGCUUGCCCCAGAACCGUGGCGUAACACGCAAGAUCCCACCUUCGCCCAUGACGCAGCAGUCAGAGUCCC